rnacentral:rRNA from 1 species
AAAUGCGGCAUGCUAUACAUGCAGUCGAGCGAAUGGAUUAAGAGCUUGCUCUUAUGAAGUUAGCGGCGGACGGGUGAGUAACACGUGGGUAACCUGCCCAUAAGACUGGGAUAACUCCGGGAAACCGGGGCUAAUACCGGUAACAUUUUGAACCGCAUGGUUCAAAAUUGAAAGGCGGCUUCGGCUGUCACUUAUGGAUGGACCCGCCUCGCAUUACCUAUUUGGUGAGGUAACGGCUCACCAAGGCAACAAUGCGUACCCAACCUGAGAGGGUGAUCGGCCACACUGGGACUGAAACACGGCCCAAACUCCUACGGGAGGCAGCAUUAGGGAAUCUUCCGCAAUGGACAAAACUCUGACGGACCAACCCCGCGUGAGUGAUGAAGGCUUUCGGGUCGUAAAACUCUGUUGUUAGGGAAAAACAAGUGCUAUUUGAAUAAGCUGGCACCUUGACGGUACCUAACCAAAAACCCACGGCUAACUACGUGCCAACACCCGCGGUAAUACAUAUGUGGCAAGCUUUAUCCGGAAUUAUUGGGCGUAAAGCGCGCGCGGGUGGUUUCUUAUCUCUGAUGUGAAACCCCAGGGCUCACCCGGGGAGGGUCAUUGAAAACUGGGAGACUUGUGUGCAAAAGAGGAAAGUGAAAUUCCAUGUGUAGCGGUGAAAUGCAUAGAUAUAUGGAAGAACACCUGUGGCAAGCGCGACUUUCUGGUCUGUAACUGACACUGAGGCGCGAGAGCGUGGAGAGCAAACGAGAUUAUAUACCCUGGUAGUCCACGCCAUACACUAUGAGUGCUAAGUGUUAGAGGGGUUUCCCCCCCUAUAGUGCUGAAUUUAACACAUUUACACACUCCCGCCUGGGAGAGUAGCCGCCGCAAGGCUGACACUCAGAAAAUAUUUUUCCCGAAAAAAAAAAA